GGAGGAUUGGCUCAGCAGUUAAGAGCACUGGCUGCUCUUCCACAGGACCUGGGUUCAAUUCCCAGAACCCACA
rfam:Cricetulus griseus cell line CHO-K1, whole genome shotgun sequence.